UUAAAUAAAACCCAAAUUAUGGAAAAAUAUCAUCCAAACUGGCCUUGGCCGCAUGAACAAUAUGGAUGGAUUCUCUCUAAUUCCUCUCCGACCUACUUUAUCGGCGAUUACCGCAUAUGUGUGCCUAAAGAUCUACCGAUAGCGUCCAAAAAUCGGCCAAUUUGGGGUUCAAAAUGGACGGUGUGAAAAUUUGCGACUCCUGUUCUGGCUCAGAAGCAGUGGCAAAUACACUUUCCUCUGUUCCAUUCAACUUCCAAGUUCCAUUCUCUGCUUCUUUUCAAGUUCUACAAUGACUUUCUUAUCGAAGGAAAGAAAAAGGUCUAGAUUUCAAUUUUAAGCACAAUUUUGCAGAGUGGAGCGGAGAGCUAUUCUCACGGUAGGCAUGGCUCUGAAAAUUCUAACGGGUCAGUUUUCAAUCAAAGGUUGAUGGGUCCUUGCAUGUAUAUUUCUGGUUUGGGUUCAUGGUGUUCUGUCUCUCUCCAUGUACAUCAAAUAUUGAUUUGGUUGUUUAGUUUUGCUCAUUUUUGUAUUCCUUCUGAAUGAUUUUAAUUUACGUAUAUAAUAUAAUAGCCCUAUUUGCGUAUGGUAAUGAAACCUGUAAUUAUAUUACAGAUCAAAAGAAUGCUGGUUCUGUUUGUCAAGCCCAGCGUGGAUUCACAUCUAAUAAUUACCACAAGAGAAACAAAGGUCCCGUUGUUCAAGACCAUGUUCUAUUAUUACCAAUUGAGCUACCUAGUACUGUCUUUACCCAACAAUGUGAAUCUGAACUGAAAUUUCUUAACUACACCAAAGUGUUUAUUCUCCCAUCCAAUAAUUAUGUAUUAAUUUAAACUUAAUUUGUGGGACAUACUAUGAUUUUGGCUUAAUUUCAUUCAUUGAUUGGUUGGGUGUACAAUCGGUUCCCUAUACCUGAACUUGUUAGAUUGAGGUAUAGUCUCAAACUAUAUCACAAGGACCAGGGAAAGGAAAAAUGAAAAUCCUUUCUUAAAUAUGUAUCUAGAUGCUUGAUGUACUAGGGAGUGUGAAUUGCUUACAAAGGCCAUAUAUUUUUAAUUGGCAAUUUUAGGAGUAGCUGCUGCUACUGUUAUUUGCCAUUAUCACUCUCUCUUUCUCUCUCUCUCUGGAUUUUCUUGAAAUUUUAAAAUGUACAAGAAUAUUGCUCAAACAUCUUUUCCGUUUAUAUGGGCAUUUGUGGGAUAAGAAUGACAGAAACUUGUUGUUCACAGGUUGUAAAUGAUAGAACAAUAACAUCAAAGAGCCUUCCACUAUUAUUAUUAUGGUAUUUAAGUUAUUUUGUCUUCCUUUUUCUUUUCCAUGUGCUGCUUCUGUUCCAUCACCCAGUCUGGCUACUAGGUUUUAAAUUUGUUGCCAUGAAAUGUAAGUACCAUCAUUCAAGUGUUUUGCGCAUACAUGUUGACUAGACAUUCGUAUGGAACUUUUCUCCUUGGUAAAAAAAUAAUCUGCAAAUGCCAGAGUUUCAAGAAAUGACAUCUAUCUAUUGGCUUAUUUUUCACUUCAAGUUGAAUAGUUCAAUGAAAUUUCAUGUUUCCAAUGUAUAAUAGCAUUGUUGUUUCUCUUGCUGUCACUAGUAUUUCUAAUGGCAGAAAAUGGUUGAGGGACAGUUGGAUAGGAACUAUAGUUUCUUCAUUGUGGAACUCCUUGUUGAUCUGCAUUAUCGUAUUUGGUCAAGAAGAAUAAGGGAUUUCUGGUGCAAUUUGGAUGUGAAGUAAGACACGAUCAUACUAAGUUCAACUGCCAAACAUGAGAUUCUGCUGAUAUUCAUUAUCUAUGUUGGUUUGAAUAACUGAUAUAACUUUAAAAUGUGGUUACAUUCACCAAACAAUGGCAAUGAGCUGUGGUAUUUAUUAAUAAUUAUUAAUUACAUCUAUUAGUUUUCAGCAUAUGCAAAUUAGAUGAAGUUUGUUGACCUUCCGUUAACAAUAUAUCGACAUUUCUUUUUGUUAGAGAUAGGCGAGAGCUUCUAAUAUGCCCAGGGAGAAUCUGUGUUGAUGGAUUUCUUGAAAGAAGACACUUAUAGCUUGAUACUAUAUCGAACUCAAAAUCUUGAGGCACUGGGUUCACUUGUCCUUCCACAUAUGUGUCUUUCGCUCAUCCCAUCUCUUUCUAGCGUCAAAAUUCAACACUUGCAUAUUCCCAAAUACUUCUAUUUGCAAGUAGCCAAACAGUUAGCAUAUCAAACUUUAUAAUAAGGAUGAAAUGAUAUAUUUCGCAUGUUUUAGCAGGAUUGCUGAACAUGCUUGGGAGGGCUGAUUGGAGGACUUGUGAGCUUAGCAAAGAAGAGGAAAUAAAAAUGGUGGAAGAAUUGAAGAAACUUUUGAAGAUUUUGAUCCGACUCAAUGAACUUGGCCAUAAGUCUUGUGCUUGAUGCUGGUACACUAGGUCCUUCAUUUGUGAUGCUACUCUUAUGGUACUUUCACUUGGAUCACACUAGAUCUUUUGGCUUCAUAUACAGCAUGGAUUUGUUGUUGGAGCAGAGUGGAGAACACUUCAGUAUCUGCUAGCAGAUGAGCACCCAUUUAAUCACAUUUCAUGAACUGGAAGAAUUAGGAGUAACCUCUUGCUUUUCGGUUUAUUAAAAAUCCAAGCAAAAGAUGAGGCCUUGACCCAUCCAGGGCAAAGCCGUGCUUUUUUCAUCGUUUCCCUGUUAACUUUCUGAAUUUGGUGCUCAGAUUCAUCUAUACAGCUUAGCAAUUUUGCACUGGAACAAACAAAAUACUGUCUUCGUCCCACAAUUACUGUCAUUUUAGAGAAUUUUUUUGUCCCAAAUUAUCUGUCACUUUGAGAAUAAUUCUAUCUUGCUUUCCAUAUAUAUCCUUAUUAGUCUUUUAAGUCAUUUAAUACUAAUAUAUGAAAAAAGCAUGACCAUCUAACGGUAUUUUAGAUAAAUUAUUAUAAAUUUUUCUAAAAUAAAUGCUCUUAAUUGGUCUUCUUGAUUUGGGUAUAAAAACAUUAAACGACAGAUAUUAUAUGGACGGAGAUAGUAGUAUUUAUUUUGUGUAAACUAAUCACAACGUUCUUACAAAUGUUUGUGAUAUUUUCAGUCGAAUUUGAAACUAAUUGUUGCAUUUUACAAAUGCUCUUGAUCCUGCCCUACUGCAGAGAUGCCUAGAUUUCUGUCUCACUUCGGAUACUAAAUAUAACUCGUUGAUGUAUGAACUCGUUGAAUACUAAAUGCAACUUGUUCUGUGGUGGUGACCUCUACAGUUUGUUGGAUUGUGGGUCACUGCAACUGGGUUGUGUUAAUUGCAGAUCUACAUAGGUCUUGGAAAGUAAUUGCAAAUUUCAGGUUUCAGGUCAGGAUACCUUUCCUGCAUUUUCUGGCCAUCAAAGUUUUGGGGACAUGAAGAUUGUGGUCCUAGGAACCAGGCUUAUAAUGUUAAGUUGCUUGCAGAUAAUGGCACAAAGGGUUACUCUAGCACCUUUGUGGGGGAAAAGUAACAAGCAAAAAUGAAGGGAAGAGUGAGCUACAAGGAUACUGUUGCAUUGGUUCUUACUCUGGUCAAUUGGUGGGCCUGGCCCUUUUAUUUAAGCCUAAGCUUGCAGUAGCACUAAUAAACAAGUUUCAUUGGCGUUGAUACAUCAUACAUGUAAUCUAAUAUAUGUUGCAUAUACGCUUUGGCUUAUUUUGUGGUUUGUUCACGUUGUAAUCAUCUUGGAAAUUAAAAAAGAAGCAUCCUUCUUGUGGAAGAAAUGCUUUUUUUUUUUUCUUUUUUAAUAAUAAUUUAGUUUUUUGUAU